rnacentral:misc_RNA from 1 species
GAGGUUUUGAUCAUUUGAUUGCACGGUCGAGGUCGAACAGAGGGGAUUAACAAUGGGAUUCUUGGUGACGUCCCUGAUUUUCGCCGUGAUUGGAGUCAUCGCAUGUUUUUGCACCCUAAUUUGCUGUAAUAGAGGCGCUUCGACUAAUUUGUUUCACCUUACUUUGAUCAUUACUGCAACAAUAUGCUGCUGGAUGAUGUGGGCAAUUGUAUAUCUUGCACAAAUGAAG